rnacentral:tRNA from 2 species
GCGAACUUGGCGGAAUGGUAGACGCAGGAGACUUAAAAUCUCCAGCCUGUAAAGGCGUGCGGGUUCGAGUCCCGCAGUUCGCA